UGCAUCGGCUGGGAAUCGAACCCGGGUCGCCCGCGUGGCAGGCGAGCAUUCUACCACUGAACCACCUAUGC
rnacentral:tRNA from 1 species